CAGCAGCCGCGGGAAUACGAAGGGGGCUAGCGUUGUUCGGAAUCACUGGGCGUAAAGGGCGCGUAGGCGGCCAUUCAAGUUAGAUGUGAAAGCCCUGGGCUCAACCUAGGAAUUGCAUUUGAUACUGUUUGGCUUGAGUUCGGGAGAGGUGAGUGGAAUUCCCAGUGUAGAGGUGAAAUUCGUAGAUAUGUGGAGGAACACCGAUGGCGAAGGCAGCCCCCUGUGCUAAGAUUGACGCUCAUGCACGAAAGCGUGGGGAGCAAACAGGAUUAGAUACCCGUGUAGUCCCUGUCUCUUAUAC
rnacentral:rRNA from 1 species